UACGAAGGGAGCAAGCGUUGUUCGGAAUUACUGGGCGUAAAGGGUGUGUAGGCGGUUUUGCAAGUUGGAUGUGAAAGCCCUGGGCUUAACUCAGGAAUAGCAUUCAAGACUGCAUCACUGGAGUAUGGAAGAGGUUGGUGGAAUUCCUAGUGUAGAGGUGAAAUUCGUAGAUAUUAGGAAGAACACCCGUGGCGAAGGCGGCCAACUGGUCCAUAACUGACGCUGAGACACGAAAGCGUGGGGAGCAAACAGG
rnacentral:rRNA from 1 species